AGAGUUUGAUCAUGGCUCAGAUUGAACGCUGGCGGCAGGCCUAACACAUGCAAGUCGAACGGUAACAGAAAGAAGCUUGCUUCUUUGCUGACGAGUGGCGGACGGGUGAGUAAUGUCUGGGAAACUGCCUGAUGGAGGGGGAUAACUACUGGAAACGGUAGCUAAUACCGCAUAACGUCGCAAGACCAAAGAGGGGGACCUUCGGGCCUCUUGCCAUCGGAUGUGCCCAGAUGGGAUUAGCUUGUUGGUGGGGUAACGGCUCACCAAGGCGACGAUCCCUAGCUGGUCUGAGAGGAUGACCAGCCACACUGGAACUGAGACACGGUCCAGACUCCUACGGGAGGCAGCAGUGGGGAAUAUUGCACAAUGGGCGCAAGCCUGAUGCAGCCAUGCCGCGUGUAUGAAGAAGGCCUUCGGGUUGUAAAGUACUUUCAGCGGGGAGGAAGGGAGUAAAGUUAAUACCUUUGCUCAUUGACGUUACCCGCAGAAGAAGCACCGGCUAACUCCGUGCCAGCAGCCGCGGUAAUACGGAGGGUGCAAGCGUUAAUCGGAAUUACUGGGCGUAAAGCGCACGCAGGCGGUUUGUUAAGUCAGAUGUGAAAUCCCCGGGCUCAACCUGGGAACUGCAUCUGAUACUGGCAAGCUUGAGUCUCGUAGAGGGGGGUAGAAUUCUAGGUGUAGCGGUGAAAUGCGUAGAGAUCUGGAGGAAUACCGGUGGCGAAGGCGGCCCCCUGGACGAAGACUGACGCUCAGGUGCGAAAGCGUGGGGAGCAAACAGGAUUAGAUACCCUGGUAGUCCACGCCGUAAACGAUGUCGACUUGGAGGUUGUGCCCUUGAGGCGUGGCUUCCGGAGCUAACGCGUUAAGUCGACCGCCUGGGGAGUACGGCCGCAAGGUUAAAACUCAAAUGAAUUGACGGGGGCCCGCACAAGCGGUGGAGCAUGUGGUUUAAUUCGAUGCAACGCGAAGAACCUUACCUGGUCUUGACAUCCACGGAAGUUUUCAGAGAUGAGAAUGUGCCUUCGGGAACCGUGAGACAGGUGCUGCAUGGCUGUCGUCAGCUCGUGUUGUGAAAUGUUGGGUUAAGUCCCGCAACGAGCGCAACCCUUAUCCUUUGUUGCCAGCGGUCCGGCCGGGAACUCAAAGGAGACUGCCAGUGAUAAACUGGAGGAAGGUGGGGAUGACGUCAAGUCAUCAUGGCCCUUACGACCAGGGCUACACACGUGCUACAAUGGCGCAUACAAAGAGAAGCGACCUCGCGAGAGCAAGCGGACCUCAUAAAGUGCGUCGUAGUCCGGAUUGGAGUCUGCAACUCGACUCCAUGAAGUCGGAAUCGCUAGUAAUCGUGGAUCAGAAUGCCACGGUGAAUACGUUCCCGGGCCUUGUACACACCGCCCGUCACACCAUGGGAGUGGGUUGCAAAAGAAGUAGGUAGCUUAACCUUCGGGAGGGCGCUUACCACUUUGUGAUUCAUGACUGGGGUGAAGUCGUAACAAGGUAACCGUAGGGGAACCUGCGGUUGGAUCACCU
rnacentral:rRNA from 1 species